rnacentral:rRNA from 1 species
UACGUAGGUGGCAAGCGUUGUCCGGAAUUAUUGGGCGUAAAGCGCGCGCAGGCGGUCCUUUAAGUCUGAUGUGAAAGCCCACGGCUCAACCGUGGAGGGUCAUUGGAAACUGGGGGACUUGAGUGCAGGAGAGAAAAGUGGAAUUCCACGUGUAGCGGUGAAAUGCGUAGAGAUGUGGAGGAACACCAGUGGCGAAGGCGACUUUCUGGCUUAUAACUGACGCUGAGGCGCGAAAGCGUGGGGAGCAAACAGG